rnacentral:rRNA from 1 species
GAAGAACGCUGGCGGCGUGCCUAAUACAUGCAAGUCGAGCGAACAGACGAGGAGCUUGCUCCUCUGACGUUAGCGGCGGACGGGUGAGUAACACGUGGAUAACCUACCUAUAAGACUGGGAUAACUUCGGGAAACCGGAGCUAAUACCGGAUAAUAUAUUGAACCGCAUGGUUCAAUAGUGAAAGACGGUUUUGCUGUCACUUAUAGAUGGAUCCGCGCCGCAUUAGCUAGUUGGUAAGGUAACGGCUUACCAAGGCAACGAUGCGUAGCCGACCUGAGAGGGUGAUCGGCCACACUGGAACUGAGACACGGUCCAGACUCCUACGGGAGGCAGCAGUAGGGAAUCUUCCGCAAUGGGCGAAAGCUUGACGGAGCAACGCCGCGUGAGUGAUGAAGGUCUUCGGAUCGUAAAACUCUGUUAUUAGGGAAGAACAAAUGUGUAAGUAACUAUGCACGUCUUGACGGUACCUAAUCAGAAAGCCACGGCUAACUACGUG